rnacentral:rRNA from 1 species
UACGUAGGGUGCAAGCGUUGUCCGGAAUUAUUGGGCGUAAAGAGCUCGUAGGCGGUCUGUCGCGUCGGCUGUGAAAACCCGGAGCUCAACUCCGGGCCUGCAGUCGAUACGGGCAAACUGGAGUGUUGCAGGGGAGACUGGAAUUCCUGGUGUAGCGGUGAAAUGCGCAGAUAUCAGGAGGAACACCGGUGGCGAAGGCGGGUCUCUGGGCAACAACUGACGCUGGAGGAGCGAAAGCGUGGGGAGCGAACAGG